GCAGCCGUAGCUCAGUUGGAUAGAGCAAGCGCCUUCUAAGCGCUAGGUCACACGUUCGAAUCGUGUCGGUUGCGCCA
rnacentral:tRNA from 1 species